rnacentral:sRNA from 2 species
UACGAAGGAACGCAGACUAAGAACGCCAAGUCCUGCGGCAACGUCUGCAAGAACCCCCAUCCUUGUGA